CGGUAAUUCCAGCUCCAAUAGCGUAUACUAAAGUUGUUGCAGUUAAAAAGCUCGUAGUUGGAUUUCUGCGGGGACGGAGCGGCCGGACGCAACUUGCGUCUCGAGCUAGCGCUUUCCCCGCAUCCUGCCGCGAACCGUGCUACCAUUAGCUUGGUGGCGCUGGGGAUCGGCUCGAUUACUUUGAGAAAAAUAGAGUGUUCAAAGCAGGCCACACGCCUUGAAUAAGUUAGCAUGGAAUAAUGACUAAGGACUUCGGUUCUAUUUUGUUGGUGUUCGGGACUGAAGUAAUGAUUGAUAGGGACAGUUGGGGCGGUCUGUAUUCCAAAGCGAGAGGUGAAAUUCUUAGACCUUCGGAAGACAAACAGCUGCGAAAGCGUUCCGCAAGGAUGUUCCCUUUGAUCAAGAACGAAAGUUGGGGGAUCGAAAACGAUCAGAUACCGUCGUAGUCUCAACUAUAAACUAUACCAGCUAGGGAUCGGUCAACGUUUAAUCAUUCGACUUGAUCGGCACCUUAUGAGAAAUCAAAGCAUCUGGGUUCCGGGGGGAGUAUGGUCGCAAGGCUGAAACUUAAAGGAAUUGACGGAAGGGCACCACCAGCCGUGGAGCCUGUGGCUUAAUUUGACUCAACACGGGAAAACUUACCAGGUCCAGACAUAGUAAGGAUUGACAGAUUGAUAGCUCUUUCUUGAUUCUGUGGGUGGUGGUGCAUGGCCGUUCUUAGUUGGUGGAGUGAUUUGUCUGGUUAAUUCCGUUAACGAACGAGACCCCAGCCUGCUAAAUAGCGCGGCUGAGCUUUGCUCGGUGCGAGCUUCUUAGAGGGACUAUGAUGCGCGAUAGCACAUGGAAGUUUGGGGCAAUAACAGGUCUGUGAUGCCCUUAGAUGUUCUGGGCCGCACACGGGCUACACUGGCGCCUGCAACGAGCAUAUCAGCUGGCCCGAGAGGGUCUUGGCUAAUCUUUUGAACCGGCGCCGUGCUUGGGAUUGACCAUUGCAAUUGUUGGUCAUGCAACGAGGAAUGCUUUGUAAACGCGAGUCAUCAGCUCGCAUUGAAUACGUCCCUGCUCCUUGUACACACCGCCC
rnacentral:rRNA from 1 species